rnacentral:rRNA from 1 species
UUAUGGCUCAGAACGAACGCUGGCGGCAGGUCUUAGGCAUGCAAGUCGAACGGAUGACAAGAGAGCUUGCUCUCUUGAAGUCAGUGGCGCACGAGUGAGUAACGCGUGGGAAACUGCCCUUCACUGGGGAAUAACGUUUGGAAACGAACGCUAAUACCGCAUACGCCCGCAAGGGGAAAGAUUUAUCGGUGAUGGAUGUGCCCGCGUUGGAUUAGCCAGUUGGUGGGGUAAUGGCCUACCAAAGCAAUGAUCCAUAGCUGGUCUGAGAGGACGAUCAGCCACGCUGGAACUGAGACACGGUCCAGACUCCUACGGGAGGCAGCAGCUAAGAAUAUUGGGCAAUGGAGGAAACUCUGACCCAGCCCAUGCCGCGUGAAUGAAGAAGGCCUUCGGGUUGUAAGGUUCUUUUAGUCAUGAAGAUGAUGACAGUAGUGACAGAAAAAGCACCGGCUAACUUCGUGCCAGCCGCCGC